GGCACGGUGAAAGUUUUUUUGUUUGUUUUGUUUUGUUUCCUUUAAGUAAUUUAUCCAAGGACACUCAGCAGGUCUUUGUGCGAGCUCAGAUUUCAGCCAAGGCUGUCUUGCCCCACACUUGAGGAGCCCCAUUUUGCCCAGUGGUUGAGGUUAACAGCAUUCUCCUUCCUCCUCGUGCUCUGCUGAGCAAAACUCACGACCUGGCCAAAUGCCGUGCUCAGGUUCAGCCAGAAGCAGUGCCCCGGGUGACUGCAGACCCUCCAGAACUUGAGGAUCCCACCCUCUGACCCAACACCCACCCCUGAAACUGAUACUGUGUGCCUCACACAGAAGGCCAAGGCCCCCAGGACGACGAGACUGCCCUCCGAGCGGCCUGAGCCCAGAGACAGCAGCCUCCAUCGGACCCAAGGCCUCCGACCGCCCUGACGAACCUCAGCGGCAGCGCAGACGUCAGAGAGGUUUCUUUCGCAGGCAGCGAGGGGAAACUUGCAACGCAGAGACUUACCCACCCAGGAAGUUUGGGAGGAGGACCUGACCGUUUGCUCUAGCAAGACCCCUGGCGUAUCCCGAGUGAGGCUCCAGUUGGAGAAACACUAACUUAGAAGAAGGAGGAGACCUAUGCUGGGAUUUCUUGAGGAGUCACCCCCACUCACUAGCUGUAUGAUCUUGGAGAAGACGCUUAGCAUCUUUGACCCCAUUUCUGCAAGACAAUGUGGAUCUUUGAUUUGUGUACAUCCUUCGGAGCUGGGCACCUUCACCAAGCUGAAACCCAAGGGCAUACAUAGGCUGGGCAAGUUUUACCACCCACCCAGUUGCAGACAAGGUAAUGGAGGCUGGAGGAGCUGUGCUGCAACCUGCCCAGACACAGCAGUGUAUGAUGGCGGGGCCUUGUUCUGCCGUCCACCAGGUCUAGGACAC
rnacentral:lncRNA from 1 species